rnacentral:tRNA from 1 species
GUUGUGGCUCAGCGGUAGAGCUCUCGCCUAUCACAUGCAAGACACUGGGUUCAAUCCUCAGCAUUACA